rnacentral:miRNA from 1 species
CCGUGUUUCCUUGUAUAAAG